rnacentral:lncRNA from 1 species
CCUAAAUUGAUUUAAGGCGUGGUCUGCACAUAGAUUUUUGUACCAGUAUAAUUAUGACUGCAAGGGCAUGGUGUCUUUAAUGCAUUGUGUGGUCACCAGCUGGUGUGACUUGGCAUGAGCGCCGUUCUGCCAGCACAGUGGCACGUGUGUGUGGUACAGGUUAUUCCUGCUCCUGUGCAGGCAUUAGCAGUCACUUGCAUCUUUCGAGUGUUCAGCUGGCACAGGUGUUACAGGCGAAAGUGAUCCUUCACAAGGCCUGAUGAUGUGCACAGAUGUUUUGGCAGCUGCUGAGACCACACCUGCUUCCAUUUGUGUGCAGAGGGACCUGACCCUUUACAUGUCAGGCUUGCCAGACAUCUGCUUUCCAGCUGUCCAAAUGAGCAUCCUACAGAACCCCUGCAAAUCUGAGCUCUCCAGUUCAUAGCACCCCAACACUACUGAGCCCUGCAGUGACUCCCACAAGACAUGAAGGACUGGCAGUAAAGCUGUGUGCUUUGGGACACAGGCAUCCUGUUCAGCCUGAGUGAAAAACUUGAGCUUUUAAAAACAGGCCCAGUGUGAGUGACUUCCAACAGUGUUUCUCUUACAAGUGUCCUCUGUUAGCAGGGACAAAUGUGCCAAAUGAGGUGUUAUGAAACAAUGCGGUGUAGAAAGGGUCAUUCCAAUAGUUUGCCCAUUACUCUGAGAUCUGGGAGAUGUAAAUUAACUUUUCUG